rnacentral:antisense_RNA from 1 species
GGAACACUCAGGAAUACAGACAGACGUAGGAAUUGCUUAAAAACAAGAAGUUCUCCGACCCUUGUUGGAGCGAACGCGCGAGUCUGACAGUGAACCUUUUGGGAAAGAGCCAGCAUUGUAACCGUGCUCGGUGACUUCUCUGGCUUUAUAGGGAACAGAUGUGAGGAUAGCAAGGGGCGCACACGUGAAAUGCCUGGCAGGUACCCCUUUGUGGCUCUACUUACUUCUUGCCAUUCCUCUGCCCUCCAAGUGUAGAGGGGACACCGUGGGCCUUGGCAGUCGCGUUCCGACUCCGGUCUGGUGUAUGGGUUGCACUCGGUCUCUCUGGCUAUUUUGUGUGUUCCGAUCUGACAGCCCACAUGCCUCUGCUGUACGCCUCGGCCACAGGACACAGAGCACUAAGAAGACAGAGAACCGCCAGUUUGGAUAAUAUCUCAAGGCUUAAUAGGGAAGGAAGGUGGCAUUGAAAAAAAAAAAAUGUCCACAGCAUUACAGCAGCAAUCCUGUGUGGCAUUUUUGGCUCACUCAAGACUGUGGGUAAAUCCUGAGAAUUGGAGCCAAAAAUAAAGCUCAUGAACCUGAAAUUACCAUGAAAUUCUGAUUUUAAGAAGUCCUACUAUGAAAUAGUGAUAUAUUUCUUCAACAAAAUGCCUUGUGAUUCACUGACUGGGAUAAAGGUGCAUUUCCAAAAUACAACUAUGUUCAAUUUCUUAAUUAAACGAUUUAAGAAUAAAACUCUUCAACCAUUUUCCAGAGGAUAAGCUCUCGUUUUCCCAGUCCAUUGGGAAGAGGUGAAAAAGGCACGUUAGAAACUGAAAGAUUCACAGUCUGGUGAGACAAGUUUGAGAUCUCAUAUUUUCAGCUCAUCCUUGAAAACCUUUCUUCGAUUUGACUGACCUUGAUGGCUCCCUGGAAUCUCACCUACAUUUUAUGGGAAAUUCAACUCUCCAGAGAGAAGAGCUUUCAGAUAGCUACGGGACUUGCAACUAUGACUUUCAGCUUUCGCUUUUGAAUGAGGCUCCAAAUGUCUCAAUGGUGGCACUAUUUCCAGAUUUGGGAGCCCUGCAAAGCUAAUCUGCUCAACCUUCACCUACUGGGUUCAAUGAAUAUGAAAAGCUGCCUUCCUGAAACUUUUCCUUCAAAGAGGGAAUGAUCUCCUGGAAUUCAAGCUUCUACAGGGUGGCUACCUGGUGUUUUCCACUUUUGCCGUCUCCUAAAAAGCAUCAAUCAAGCCUUGCCCUUUCAACCCACUGAACACAUAAACAUGCUUUCUCCUUAACUGAACUUAUGGCCACGAUGAACUUGAACUCUGAGAUUCACAGAGGAGAGUUUGUUUUAACAGCUGCUUUUACAAUGAAGCCCUGGAGUUACUACUCUCAAGACCCCUGGUUCUGAUAGGCCAUCUUUUCACUGUCCUCUGCAUUUUCUAAUGCCCAGCUGUCAAGGAACACCCACUGAAGUUUUCCAAAACAAAGGCACGAAACACAAGAAAGGCAAGAGAAUGCUAAUCACCA